AUGGCGUCGGCCACGUCGCCCACGCCGCCGUGGGUCAUCCUGGGCAGCGUGCCGCGGGUGCUCUCGGCCGCCGCCGCAGCCGCAUCCCUCCCGCCGGGCCCGGGCAGCGCCGACUUCUCCCUCGAGCUGCCGCCGCCCCCGCGCGUCGCGCUCCUCACCAUCCCGCCGCGCAUCUUCCCGUCCCGCCCCACUCGCGCCAGCUACCCCUGCGUCCUCGCCGCCGACUCCUCCGCGGGCCUCCUCCUCCUCCACGCCGACCAGGGCCACGCCACGGGCCCCACCGUCAUCGACAAGCCCGGCCACCAGCAGUUCGGCUGGCUCCCGUUCGUCGCGGGCUACUUCGUGCUCCACGCCGCCACCGGCUCCGCCCUGCCACUCCCCACGCCCGAGCUCGUCUCCUACAAGGGCGACCUCGGCCUCAUCGCCUACCCCGACGGCGCGGGCUACGUGGUCGCCGAGCUCCAGCCCGUCUUCGGCAGCGACAAGGCCGUUCUCCUGCGCUUCUCGUCGCAGGUCGGGGAGUGGGUCAGCAAGAGAGUCGCCUACCCGCUUCCGGCCCGCCUGCACAACCCCGACGGCGUCGUCUCCUGCUACGGGAGGCUCUGGUGGGUCGACCUCUCCUGGAGCCUCGUCACCUGCGACCCCUUCGCCGACGACCCCGUCCUCACCCGUGUCAAGCUCCCCGAGGGCACGGCGCUCAAGUACAGGGUAGCCUGGGGGCUGCUCGAAAAGUACCGCUGCGUCGGCGUCAGCGCCGGCAAGCUGCGGUUCGUCGACAUGUACCGCAACAGCAACAGCAACGGGGCCGCGCAGAUCAGCGUCUGGACGCUCGCCGACUAUCCGCCGUACUCCACCGAGUGGACGCUGGACUGCGAGGCCACCUUCGCGGAGAUCUGCAACGACGCCAGCUACAAGGCCACUGGUCUGCCGAGGAAGAUCCCCGUGCUCGCGCUCAUCCAUCCCACCAACCCCGACGUGGUCUACUUCUUCCAGGACGAGCACCUGAUCGGCGUCGACGUGCGUGCUCGCAAGGUCGUGGGGUGCGAGGUCUACGAGCUGGUUGAUGAGCCGCCGUGCGAAGGCGUCUCUUCCCGCUUCGUUCACGCCUGGCAGCUGCCACCGUCUCUCAGUCUCUCUCUCUGCUCAGGUUCUGCAAAGGAGACAGUCAACGUUGAUGGAAUCUGUACGAUUAUCUGA
rnacentral:rRNA from 1 species